rnacentral:rRNA from 1 species
ACGCGAAAGUCCCGCAAGGGAUGAGUAGAGUGGCAAACGGGUGAGUAACACGUGGGUGACCUGCCUUCGAGUGGGGGAUAACGUCCCGAAAGGGACGCUAAUACCGCAUAACAUCCUGCCUUUUAAGAGGUGGAGCUCAAAGCUGGGGAUCGCAAGACCUAGCGCUUGAAGAGGGGCCCGCGCCUGAUUAGCUAGUUGGUGAGGUAACGGCUCACCAAGGCGACGAUCAGUAUCCGGCCUGAGAGGGCGGACGGACACACUGGGACUGAGACACGGCCCAGACUCCUACGGGAGGCAGCAGUGGGGAAUUGUUCGCAAUGGGCGCAAGCCUGACGACGCAACGCCGCGUGGAGGAUGAAGACCUUCGGGUCGUAAACUCCUUUCGAUCGAGACGAAUGGCCUCUGGGUGAACAAUCCGGAGGAAUGACGGUACCGAGAGAAGAAGCCCCGGCUAACUCCGUGCCAGCAGCCGCGGUAAUACGGGGGGGGCAAGCGUUGUUCGGAAUUACUGGGCGUAAAGGGCUCGCAGGCGGCCAACUAAGUCAGACGUGAAAUCCCUCGGCUUAACCGGGGAACUGCGUCUGAUACUGGAUGGCUUGAGUUCGGGAGAGGGAUGCGGAAUUCCAGGUGUAGCGGUGAAAUGCGUAGAUAUCUGGAGGAACACCGGUGGCGAAGGCGGCAUCCUGGACCGACACUGACGCUGAGGAGCGAAAGCCAGGGGAGCAAACGGGAUUAGAUACCCCGGUAGUCCUGGCCCUAAACGAU